rnacentral:rRNA from 1 species
UACGUAGGGGGCAAGCGUUGUCCGGAUUUAUUGGGCGUAAAGAGCGUGUAGGCGGCCAGACAGGUCCGUUGUGAAAACUAGAGGCUUAACCUCUAGACGUCGAUGGAAACCGUCUGGCUAGAGUCCGGAAGAGGAGAAUGGAAUUCCGUGGUGUAGCGGUGAAAUGCGCAGAUAUCAGGAAGAACACCCGUGGCUAAGGCGGUUCUCUAGUACGGUACUGACGCUGAGACGCGAAAGCGUGGGGAGCGAACAGG